AAACAAUUAACAAAAUAAAUCAAGCCCAAGAGAAAUAAAGGAGAGAUGAGAGAAAGUAAACAAAAAGGUAGUGAUCUAAGACCCAAUUUAACUAAACACAAAGAAAUAAAAAAGAUGAUAAAAUGCACAAAAAAAAGGAUGGAAAAAGCUCCAUUUAAUCUAGAGGGUCACAUGGCAACGCAAGAUAAAAGGGAAAAAGCGGGAUGUGUGGUCUCGAUUAAAUCUGGGCUUAUUCAAGAA
rnacentral:lncRNA from 1 species